AGGACGAACGCUGGCGGCGUGCUUAACACAUGCAAGUCGAGCGAGAGCCAGUUGAGGGGUAACCCUCGGCUGGGGACAGCGGCGAACGGGUGCGUAACACGUGGGCAACCUGCCCCUGACACUGGGAUAACCCCGGGAACGGAGCUAAUACCGGAUACUCUCGGCCGAUCACAUGGCUGGCCGAGGAAAGGUCCGCCGGUCAGGGGAUGGGGCCCGCGGCCUAUCAGCUUGUUGGCGAGGUAACGGCUCACCAAGGCGACGACGGGUAGCGUGGUCUGAGAGGACGACCAGCCACACUGGAACUGAGAUACGGUCCAGACUCCUACGGGAGCAGCAGUCGGGAUAGUUGCACAAUGGGACGAAAGCCGUGAUGCAGCGACGCCGCGUGAGGGAUGGAAGGCCGUUCGGUACGUAAACCGUCGUUCGCGUAAGGACGAAGCGAUCGAGUUGACGUACUGACGAGAACGACGCCCGA
rnacentral:rRNA from 1 species